rnacentral:lncRNA from 1 species
UAAAUAGAACGGCAUCGUUUUACAUUAGGGUUUGGAGGUACACACUUAUAUACUCUUAUCAUAUAUACAUACACUCGUGCCUCCACUCUCUUUUUAUACUUCUUGUUUUCACCAACAAGCAGGAUCCAUAGAGAAUGGAGACCAAAAAUUCCAUUGAAGCUCUCUUUCAUUCUCAAUCACAAAAAUAGUCCUAGAACUAACAAUCACCACCAUCGACCGACGCCUUCACCAACAUUUUUCGAACCAAGAACUUGAUUCUUCGUUGAAAUCAAAGGUAAGGUGUUUUCAUUUAUUUUAUUUUUCGAGUUUUCCC